UGCAGUCGACGGUAGCACAGAGGAGCUUGCUCCUUGGGUGACGAGUGGCGGACGGGUGAGUAAUGUCUGGGAAACUGCCCGAUGGAGGGGGAUAACUACUGGAAACGGUAGCUAAUACCGCAUAACGUCGCAAGACCAAAGAGGGGGACCUUCGGGCCUCUUGCCAUCGGAUGUGCCCAGAUGGGAUUAGCUAGUAGGUGGGGUAACGGCUCACCUAGGCGACGAUCCCUAGCUGGUCUGAGAGGAUGACCAGCCACACUGGAACUGAGACACGGUCCAGACUCCUACGGGAGGCAGCAGUGGGGAAUAUUGCACAAUGGGCGCAAGCCUGAUGCAGCCAUGCCGCGUGUAUGAAGAAGGCCUUCGGGUUGUAAAGUACUUUCAGCGAGGAGGAAGGUGUUGUGGUUAAUAACCGCAGCAAUUGACGUUACUCGCAGAAGAAGCACCGGCUAACUCCGUGCCAGCAGCCGCGGUAAUACGGAGGGUGCAAGCGUUAAUCGGAAUUACUGGGCGUAAAGCGCACGCAGGCGGUCUGUCAAGUCGGAUGUGAAAUCCCCGGGCUCAACCUGGGAACUGCAUCCGAAACUGGCAGGCUAGAGUCUUGUAGAGGGGGGUAGAAUUCCAGGUGUAGCGGUGAAAUGCGUAGAGAUCUGGAGGAAUACCGGUGGCGAAGCGG
rnacentral:rRNA from 1 species